CCCCUCGCCGCCACCGCCGGGGGCAGCCGCGCACCCCGCCCGGCCCGGGGCCGUGUCUCCCGCGCCCCCCCCCCCCCCCCCCCCGCAGCCACCCACCUGCAGCCUGCCGGCAGCCGCACGCCGUGAGGAGGGCGGCCCGCCCCGCCGCCCGCGGGCGGGAGGAGCGGCGGCAAGGUCGGCUUCACCUCGCCCGCCGCCGCUCGCCUCAUGCCCGCGGGGCCCUGCGGCCGGCCCGCCGGGAUCCCCGCGCCGCCGCCGCCUCCCGCCGCGCCGCGGGGAGGCCGGGCCGGGCCGGGCCGGGCGGCACCUGCUGCCGAAAGCUGACGGGGGAACCGCCCGCCCCGGCCCGGCCCUCGGCGCCGCCUGGUGAGGGCCCGGCCCGGCCUUCGCAGCGGCCUUCGGCGGUGGGCAGCUGCGGGACACGGGUCACCCGCCGUGUGGUGGAUUCCCGCCGCGGGCGGCGAAGGCCGCCGUAGUUAGCACCCUCCCGAAACGCCGAAACGUUACCGUCUGCGGCUGGGGCUAGAGGGGAGGAGGCACCGGCCUGAAGCGGUCUGGCCGGCGGUGGUUGCGCGGUCUGGGCAGCGGGUCCUCCCGGCCUGGCAGAGGUCCUGCUGCCAUCUGAGGAAAUCUCCGUGUGCUUAUGGACGUUUACUGUGCAAGCCUCCCCAUGCCUUACUGCCCCUGCCUCUGCAGACGGGGAAAGGGAGGCCAGAGAGCUUUUUGCCAAGGAUAACAGACUCGGUCUGUGGCGGAGUUGGUAGAAACCUUAAUUUCCGUCCCGCGUUCUAAUUAUGAGAUGUUUCCUCCCACCCCGCAGUUACUUUUAUGCAGAUGAAGUAAUCUACCUCUCACCAUCCCACCCUGCCUUCUGUGCUCCUGCCGAGGCGGCUGGUUAGAAGACAUGAAUGAAACUCCGGUGGUGUGAUUACAGCUUGUGAGCCGACUGAGCGUAUCGUAUAAAACAUACAGCUAUUGCUGCUCUCAGACUGGAAUUGUCCAAUGAGCUGGCCAGCCCCUGUAAUUGAACCGACUCCUCACCCUCUCAGCCUGGGAAACCUCCUUUCGUGCCUCCAUCCACAACAGCCCACUUCUCAGCCUGCAACGGACACAGGCUGGUGAAUUGUACUGCAUUGAGCUGCUGAGAUAAGUACGGUAAUUUCAUUAAAAAGAAGAAGAUUGCCUCCCACAUUCAUGGACACAGACAAGCAUGGACAGAUGCCUGACUCCAUUAUCACCUUCUCCUUCAUCAUGAAAAAGCCAAGCAAAAUCCUAAGGCACUUUAAGGCCACAAAAUGGGUCAGUAAUGCUGGGGGUGGGGGAAGCAAUGAAGAAAUUCCCUUGCUGUGCCUGCUGGAGAGAGAAUCAAGCGGAUGCAAACCUACUUUCUGCAGCUGGGAGACAUCACUUGAGGGAUCCCUGAAGUGGGUCAGGGCGGGGGUCAUGCUCACUGUUCUCAAAAUUUCCAGGGCAUCAGCAAGAAGUAUCCUCUGUCAGCAUAUCCAGAAGUAUGAUUGAAAACUAGCAUGGGAAUCUUCUUCCCAGCAGAACACAGGAAAGCAAGAAUUUGUUGUUUGAAAAAGUCCAUCUGACAGGAAUAUUAAACAGGCUUUCACUUAGCAGGAUAUGUACAUGUUGGCUUCUAGAGACCAGGAAGGAGAGAAGUCACCUCAAGCAGCAGCUUAUUGGAGAACUGUGAGGCGUUGUAUAGCCAGAGGAAGAAGCUGGCAAAAAUUGGCAGAGCCCUACAGAGGAACAAGCUCUUUUCUGUCCUUCAGCAUCCAGUAUGGCUCUUAGUUAUAUUCUGCUGUUUCACCUGACAGUAUUUUUAUUAUAAAGCCCUGGCUGCAGUGACCAUGAAAGGGUGGAGUUCAAGUUCCUUUGGGCAGCA